rnacentral:lncRNA from 1 species
ACUUCUCAUUAUCCCCAGCACACUAACAAUCAAUUUGAUAACUAACCAUUUGCAGCCCUUUCCCAGAAGUCUGCCUUCCUCGGGUGGCUGCCUCGCUCUACCUAAGGGAAGAGCCGGCUCGAAUCAGCAGACAAAUGGCUUGCCAAAGGGGAACAACAGCACAUGGUGUGGUACGUUAAAUGUUCGGUAAAAUGGCUCCCUAUAAUUCUGUCUUUCAGGGCCUACAGGGGCACUUCCUUUUUCCCUCAGCUUCCACUUCAGCUGCCCUUCCACCCCUAUUCAGUUGGGCUCAAGGACUCCUUCCCCACAAGCCACCAGAGUUGAUUUUGUCUUCAACCCUAAUCAGGGUGUUAUUGGGGUUCUUCCUCCUUCACGCCAAGAUCCUUCCAUAACCCUCAGAGAUCAGCAAGCCACCCCUGUAUAUGCAAACAGGUUGACUGCUUCCUCUUUAGCUGCCGGAGAAGGUUGGUCUCUUAAUACCCCGUAACCUUUGCUCCCCACUUUGUUUUGACCCCUGAAAGAAAAGGGCUGAUGAACUGGAGAGAAUCAUGGACAUGUUAUUUCUCUGUGCCCCUGCAGAUGGCGACUCCAAGGUGGUCACUUCAGCAGUAUUGCCAGGUCGCCAACCUGGGCUGUCCGGCAGCCCGAAAACUCCUCCCGGCUUUCCAUUUACCUCAGAUGUUCAGGCAACUCCUGGAGGCUUCCAGGGCAACCCACCUGUCACCAACAUCCAAAGAACACGUCAUACUGCAGGUAAAUAUCAUUAGCAAUAAAUGAAAU